CUCUAGCACACCCUGCUCUGCCUUUCUUCAGAUGUGUAGCUUUGCUUUCUUUCUUCUACCCUCUCAGGGUCCCCACGAGACUUGCAACCAGGGGAGUGGUGGACAGUGGCAGUUCCUUCCGGGCUCACCCUGAACCCGUCUCCAAGGCCCCCCCUUUGUACUGCUGUUCAAGUACAGUUGUCUCCAUUCCCCCCGCCACUCUCCCCACCCCAGCAAGGAUUCUUCUUCUGACUCUGUAACUUGUUUCCUAAGUCCAUGCAGCCCAGGGGGUUCGCUUCUGCUUCUGCGACUUUCUGAAAGGCCAAGGCAGCUCUCUGGGGCGGCGCACUUGAUUCUUCUCUCCAAGCAUACUUUUGGUUUGCUUGGUUACAAACUUCCUCUUGCACUGCUUUGGGCUGGAGAUAGCAGCACUGGGAGCUGUGGGUUCUGGUUCUGGGGUCGCUGGCCCACCGUUCUGAACGUGGACUUCCUCGUAGGCACCUAACUCGCCAUCUUUGAUGAGCUCCGGCCUCUAUGCCUUGCGCAGCUGCUCCAGGAAGCUGCUGUAGAAGCUCUCUGCCCACUCUGUGGGCACUGAAUGCCAUGUGGAAGGUGGGCUUGGGGCCCUUGAGGACACACUGGCGAAUGAACUGGCUGACACGCAGCACCUGGUGCUUUGACCAGUGCUUCCCACUCUCAUCUUCAAACACAUGAAGCUUCACUGCUGCAGAGAGCGUGCCCACUGAGAGACCUGCGGGGAGCAGGCUUACCAGCACCGCUGCAAUGGGACCAAUGGCUGGCUCCGCUUGGAGGACCUGGCUCCACACGUUCUCAGCCUUAUGUCUCCUGCUGUGGCUAUUCUCUAAUGGAUCACCGGUGCCUUCCUCACCCUCUUGGAGCCAAGAACCCAAGGGCAAGGUGCUGGUGGUCCAACCAGAGGCGUGGAGACGCUGUGGCAGCGUGGCCCUGGACCCCAAGGAUGGCAUGUGGAGCUGCUGUGGGCUCCACUACCCCUUCCAUCGUGCCUCCCAGAGGUGCUGUUCGACCAACAUGAACGGGUUCCAGGUCAUUCCCAAGGACAAUAGCAAAUCAGAAUAUGACGACUGCAGGAAAUAUAACAGGAAGGACCUCUAGGCUCCAGGAAGCCAUCCUUCGCGGCCCCAAAUCCCCCCCACCCUCAACCUACCCUUUCCUUCUAAGCCUUCACUCUGAGGACUAGGGAAUUAUCCAGCAGCUCCUUCUUUCCAAAGUCUAAGUUAUGGGCCACAGGUUCCCACGGUGUGAAGUUAGGUAAGUCACCUCCUAUUUCUAGG